AUUGAACGCUGGCGGUAGGCCUAACACAUGCAAGUCGAACGGCAGCACAGUAAGAGCUUGCUCUUACGGGUGGCGAGUGGCGGACGGGUGAGGAAUACAUCGGAAUCUACUUUUUCGUGGGGAUAACGUAGGGAAACUUACGCUAAUACCUCAUACGACCUACGGGUGAAAGCAUGGGAUCUUCGGACCUUGCGCGAUUGAAUGAGCCGAUGUCGGAUUAGCUAGUUGGCGGGGUAAAGGCCCACCAAGGCGACGAUCCGUAGCUGGUCUGAGAGGAUGAUCAGCCACACUGGAACUGAGACACGGUCCAGACUCCUACGGGAGGCAGCAGUGGGGAAUAUUGGACAAUGGGCGCAAGCCUGAUCCAGCCAUACCGCGUGGGUGAAGAAGGCCUUCGGGUUGUAAAGCACUUUUGUUGGGAAAGAAAAGCAGCAGGUUAAUACCCCGCUGUUCUGACGGUACCAAAAGAAUAAGCACCGGCUAACUUCGUG
rnacentral:rRNA from 1 species